rnacentral:rRNA from 1 species
GGGGGGGGGGGGGGGGGGGGGGGGGGGGGGGGGGGGGGGGGGGGGGGGGGGGGGGGGGGUGGCGGGGGGUGGCGGGCGGGGGGGUGAGGGGUCGGGACGGGCCCGGGAGGGGGGGGUAGCGCGGCGGCCGCCGGGUUCAUGGCGCAUGCGGCCUGGGGGGGAAAGGGGGGGAUCUUCGGGCGUCGGGCGCUUGUAGCGGCCGAUGGCAGCGUAGCUAGGUGGUGGGGUAAAGGCCUAGCCAGGCGACGACCUGUAGCUGGUCUCAGAGGACGACCAGCCACACUGGGACUGAGACACGGCCCAGACUCCUACGGGAGGCAGCAGUGGGGAAUUUUGGACAAUGGGCGAAAGCCUGAUCCAGCAAUGCCGCGUGUGUGGUGAAGGCCUUCGGGUUGUAAAGCACUUUUGGCGGGAACGAAAAGGACUGUGCCAAUACCACGGUUCGAUGACGGUACCCGCAGAAUAAGCACCGGCUAACUACGUG